GUAAACACAUGUACAUAUAUGUAUGUAUGUAUAAUUUCCGUUUUGCAGAAAAGUAUAAACUUAAUUUUGAUACCAUGGUUAAUUGAGUUUAUUCUUUAUUUAGUAAAUGUAAAAAAGGAAGUAACGCACUGCAUUGUUGCAGAAAUAAUAGAACAAACGUUUACUCUCUCUUCUGAAUUGGAUGAACAAAGAAAAAACCAGAAUUUUAAUAUAUAUAGCAAAACAUUUGAACUUCCCAAAAAAUAAUAUAUCAUAAACAAAUG